AAUCUCUCUCUCUCUCUCUGUGUUUCUGUGAACUAUGAACUCUGGAGUGAGCAUCAGGAGGACAGGGUAGAUCAGAAUUCUGGCUAGCCCAUGAGAAAUUUAGUGUAGGAAUGGCCACCACACGAAUCAACGCACGCAUUAGGGGCUACCCAUUUUAUUCUACUUCGCAACCUUCUCUUCUUGGCAUUCUCGUGCCCAAACCUUGAGCGACGACGUGCGCUUGGUACCCCUUCCCACCAAAUGACCAACAAAGCAAACGAGCUGUCUCCAUCGAUAUCGUUUACCUCCACCGAUGGCUCUGCUUCGCUACCCCAAAAUACGCUAACGCUGCCUGCUUUUUGGAUAAGUAUCUAAAGAGGUAAGUCCCUGUCACUGGAAAUAAUAAUUGGACGACAUGGAAAUGGUGGGUUUUGUAUUACGCAAGGAACCAAUGUGUCCACCCUGCAAAAUUAGAUUUUGAACUUGACCACCUUCAAAACUGCAACUUUACUUUUUAUCUUCCAUGCGUUUCAUAUGUAGAUAAGAGUUAUAUAAUCUGGUGACAAACUUAACAACUAUAUUAAACGUGUAGGCACGGUAGAUAGAAUCUUUUUAUUUGAAGGAAAGAGAGUGAAAUAUUUGCAAAAACGUGGGGAACAUGAUAUUUAACUUAUUAUUUAGGGGAGGAGAGUGAUAAUUCCUCUUUUUUGUUUUUUGUUUCUUAGUUAUAAAUUUAAUACAAAGGUAAUGGCGAACAAUUACACCAGUACUUCCAAAACCCAAUAUCAUAGGUGAAUGGUUCCCUCUGAUUUCCUCCAAACUCAUUCUCUAAACUGACUAAAA